UCAAGUUAUUAAGGGUGCAGGGCGGAUGCCUUGGCACUAGGAGCCGAUGAAGGACGUGAUAAGCUGCGAUAAGCUUCGGGGAGUUGCACGUAAACUUUGAUCCGAAGAUUUCCGAAUGAGGAAACUCACUUAGAGUAAUGUCUAAGUAUCAUUAAGUGAAUACAUAGCUUAAUGAGGGGAACUCAGGGAACUGAAACAUCUAAGUACCUGAAGGAAGAGAAAGAAAUUCGAUUCCGUAAGUAGCGGCGAGCGAACGCGGAUUAGCCCAAACCAAUAAAGUUUUCUUUAUUGGGGUUGCGGACAUAUCAUAACGAAGAGGUAUCGUAAUUGAAGAGGUUUGGAAAGACCCACCACAGAAGGUAAUAGUCCUGUAUGUUAAACGAGAAGACUUCAGAUAUGAUCCAGAGUACCACGGGACACGUGAAACCCUGUGGGAAGUAGGAGGGACCACCCUCCAAGGCUAAAUACUACCUAGUGACCGAUAGCGUAUAGUACCGUGAGGGAAAGGUGAAAAGAACCCCGGGAGGGGAGUGAAAUAGAACCUGAAACCCUGCACUUACAAGCUGUGGAAGCACAUUUCUUGUGUGACCGCGUACUUUUUGUAGAACGGGCCAACGAGUUACGUUAAGUAGCAAGGUUAAGCACUUAAGGUGUGGAGCCGUAGCGAAAGCGAGUUUUAACUGAGCGUUCAGUUACUUGACGUAGACCCGAAACCGGGCGACCUACCCAUGAGCAGGAUGAAGCGAAAGUAAAAUUUCGUGGAGGUCCGAACCCACGAGCGUUGAAAAGCUCGGGGAUGACUUGUGGGUAGCGGUGAAAUUCCAAUCGAGCCCGGAGAUAGCUGGUUCUCCCCGAAAUAGCUUUAGGGCUAGCCUCAAGGUGAGAGAUACGGAGGUAGAGCACUGAAUGUCCUAGGGGGUAUUGCACCUACCGAAGACUAUCAAACUCCGAAUGCCGUCAUCUUAUACUUGGGAGUCAGACUGUGGGUGAUAAGAUUCAUAGUCGAAAGGGCAACAGCCCAGAUCGUCAGCUAAGGUCCCUAAAUGUAAGUUAAGUGGUAAAGGAUGUGGGAUUGCACAGACAACCAGGAUGUUGGCUUAGAAGCAGCCACUCAUUCAAAGAGUGCGUAAUAGCUCACUGGUCGAGUGAUCCUGCGCCGAAGAUUUCCGGGGCUAAAACUUACUACCGAAGCUACGGCAUCAGUAAUGAUGGGUAGGGGAGCUUCCCAUACGGGUUGAAGCAUGACCGUAAGGACAUGUGGACAGUAUGGGAGUGAGAAUGUUGGCAUGAGUAGCGAGAUGUGGGUGAGAAUCCCACAGGCCGUAAACCCAAGGUUUCCAGGGGAAGGUUCGUCCGCCCUGGGUUAGUCGGGACCUAAGCUGAGGCCGAAAGGCGUAGGUGAUGGACAACAGGUUGAUAUUCCUGUACUACCGAUAACCGUUUGAGAGAAGGGAUGACACAGUAGGAUAAGCUAAGCACACUGUUGGUUAUGUGUGCCCAAGCAUUGAGGCAGUCAAAGUAGGCAAAUCCGCUUUGAUAAUGCUGGGAUGUGAUGGGGAGCGAAAUUUAGUAGCGAAGUAGCUGAUUUCACACUGUCAAGAAAAGUCUCUAUCGAGGUUAAAGGUACCCGUACCGCAAACCGACACAGGUGGGUGAGGAGAGUAUCCUAAGGCCAGCGAGAGAACUGUUGUUAAGGAACUCGGCAAAAUGACCCCGUAACUUAGGGAUAAGGGGUGCCACCAUCAGGUGGCCGCAGAGAAUAGGCCCAAGCGACUGUUUACCAAAAACAUAGGUUUCUGCUAAGUCGCAAGACGAUGUAUAGGAGCUGACGCCUGCCCGGUGCUGGAAGGUUAAGGGGAUCUGUUAGAGCAAUCGAAGCAGUGAACUUAAGCCCCAGUAAACGGCGGCCGUAACUAUAACGGUCCUAAGGUAGCGAAAUUCCUUGUCGGGUAAGUUCCGACCCGCACGAAAGGCGUAACGAUUUGGGCACUGUCUCAACAACAGACUCGGUGAAAUUGUAAUUCCGGUGAAGAUGCCGGAUACCUGCGACAGGACGGAAAGACCCCAUGGAGCUUUACUGUAGCUUGACAUUGGGUCUUGGUACUACAUGUACAGGAUAGGUGGGAGGCUUUGAAACCAGGACGCCAGUUUUGGCGGAGCCAUCCUUGGGAUACCACCCUUGUAGUACUGGGACUCUAACCAUAGGCCAUGAAUCUGGUCUUGGGACACUGUCAGGUGGGCAGUUUGACUGGGGCGGUCGCCUCCCAAAAGGUAACGGAGGCGCUCAAAGGUUCUCUCAGUACGGUCGGAAAUCGUACGUAGAGUGUAAAGGCAAAAGAGAGCUUGAUUGCAAGACAUACAGGUCGAGCAAGGAUGAAAAUCGGACUUAGUGAUCCGGUGGUUCUGCGUGGAAGGGCCAUCGCUCAACGGAUAAAAGCUACCCUGGGGAUAACAGGCUUAUCUCCCCCAAGAGUCCACAUCGACGGGGAGGUUUGGCACCUCGAUGUCGGCUCAUCACAUCCUGGGGCUGUAGUAGGUCCCAAGGGUUGGGCUGUUCGCCCAUUAAAGUGGUACGCGAGCUGGGUUCAGAACGUCGUGAGACAGUUCGGUCCCUAUCCGUCGCAGGCGUAGGAAAUUUGAGAAGACCUGUCCUUAGUACGAGAGGACCGGGAUGGACGUACCUCUGGUGUACCAGUUGUUCUGCCAAGGGCAUGGCUGGGUAGCUAUGUACGGAAUGGAUAAGCGCUGAAAGCAUCUAAGCGCGAAGCCAACUUCAAGAUAAGAUUUCCCACCGCAAGGGUAAGACCCCAGAAAGACUAUCUGGUUGAUAGGUCGAAGGUGUAAGUGCAGCAAUGUAUUUAGCUUAUCGAUACUAAUAGGUCGAGGACUUGACCAA
rnacentral:rRNA from 1 species